GUUUCUGUACUAUAGCGGUCAUCACAUGCGCUUUACACGCUCAAGGUCUGCAGUUCGGUCCUGGACAGAAGCA